rnacentral:rRNA from 1 species
GCUAGUUGUACGAGUUCAGACUCGUAGCAGAUAGCUCAGUAACACGUGGCCAAACUACCCUAUGGAUCAGAACAACCUCGGGAAACUGAGGCUAAUUCUGAAUACGAUUCUCCCGCUGGAACUGCAGAGAAUCCGAAACGCUCCGGCGCCAUAGGAUGUGGCUGCGGCCGAUUAGGUAGACGGUGGGGUAACGGCCCACCGUGCCGAUAAUCGGUACGGGUUGUGAGAGCAAGAGCCCGGAGACGGUAUCUGAGACAAGAUACCGGGCCCUACGGGGCGCAGCAGGCGCGAAACCUUUACACUGCACGCCAGUGCGAUAAGGGGACUCCGAGUGCGAGGGCAUAUAGUCCUCGCUUUUCACCACCGUAAGGUGGUGGUGGAAUAAGUGCUGGGCAAGACCGGUGCCAGCCGCCGCGGUAAUACCGGCAGCACGAGUGAUGACCGCUAUUAUUGGGCCUAAAGCGUCCGUAGCUGGCCGCGCAAGUCUAUCGGGAAAUCUGCUCGCCUAACGAGCAGGCGUCCGGUGGAAACUGUGUGGCUUGGGACCGGAAGAUCCAGAGGGUACGUCCGGGGUAGGAGUGAAAUCCUGUAAUCCUGGACGGACCGCCGGUGGCGAAAGCGCUCUGGAAGGACGGAUCCGACGGUGAGGGACGAAAGCUCGGGUCACGAAC